AGUGAACGCUGGCGGUAGGCCUAACACAUGCAAGUCGAACGGCAGCACAGUAAGAGCUUGCUCUUACGGGUGGCGAGUGGCGGACGGGUGAGGAAUACAUCGGAAUCUACUUUUUCGUGGGGGAUAACGUAGGGAAACUUACGCUAAUACCGCAUACGACCUACGGGUGAAAGCAGGGGAUCUUCGGACCUUGCGCGAUUGAAUGAGCCGAUGUCGGAUUAGCUAGUUGGCGGGGUAAAGGCCCACCAAGGCGACGAUCCGUAGCUGGUCUGAGAGGAUGAUCAGCCACACUGGAACUGAGACACGGUCCAGACUCCUACGGGAGGCAGCAGUGGGGAAUAUUGGACAAUGGGCGCAAGCCUGAUCCAGCCAUACCGCGUGGGUGAAGAAGGCCUUCGGGUUGUAAAGCCCUUUUUUUGGGAAAGAAAAGCAGCAGGUUAAUACCCCGCUGUUCUGACGGUACCCAAAGAAUAAGCACCGGCUAACUUCGU
rnacentral:rRNA from 1 species